GAUGAACGCUGGCGGCGUGCCUAAUACAUGCAAGUCGAGCGAACGGACUAGAAGCUUGCUUCUCUGAUGUUAGCGGCGGACGGGUGAGUAACACGUGGAUAACCUACCUAUAAGACUGGGAUAACUUCGGGAAACCGUAGCUAAUACCGGAUAAUAUUUUGAACCGCAUGGUUCAAAAGUGAAAGACGGUCUUGCUGUCACUUAUAGAUGGAUCCGCGCUGCAUUAGCUAGUUGGUAAGGUAACGGCUUACCAAGGCAACGAUGCAUAGCCGACCUGAGAGGGUGAUCGGCCACACUGGAACUGAGACACGGUCCAGACUCCUACGGGAGGCAGCAGUAGGGAAUCUUCCGCAAUGGGCGAAAGCCUGACGGAGCAACGCCGCGUGGGUGAUGAAGGUCUUCGGAUCGUAAAACUCUGUUAUUAGGGAAGAACAUAUGUGUAAGUAACUGUGCACAUCUUGACGGUACCUAAUCAGAAAGCCACGGCUAACUACGUG
rnacentral:rRNA from 1 species